UCGUCAUUGCUGCGGUUAAAAAGCUCGUAGUUGGAUCUGAGUCACAUGCAGUGGUUCGCCUUUGGCGUUAAUCGCUGUUGUGACUAUUUGCUGGUUUUCUACUUAGGUUUCGGCCUUUGUAGUGGCUAGCGAGUUUACUUUGAAUAAAUUAGAGUGCUCAGAACAGGCGUUUGCCUGAAUGCUCGAUCAUGGAAUAAUAAAAGAGGACUUCGGUUCUAUUUAUUGGUUCAGGAACUGAAAUAAUGGUUAAGAGGGACAAUUCGGGGGCAUUCGUAUCCCUGCGCGAGAGGUGAAAUUCGUGGACCGCAGGGGGACGCCCUAAAGCGAAAGCAUUUGCCAAGAAUGUCUUCAUUAAUCAAGAACGAAAGUCAGAGGUUCGAAGGCGAUUAGAUACCGCCCUAGUUCUGACCGUAAACUAUGCCAUCUAGCGAUCCGAUGGGGUAUAGUUGCCUUGUCGAGGAGCUUCCCGGAAACGAAAGUCUUUCGGUUCCUGGGGUAGUAUGGUUGCAAAGCUGAAACUUAAAGAAAUUGACGGAAUGGCACCACCAGGAGUGGAGCCUGCGGCUUAAUUUGACUCAACACGGGAAAACUCACCCGGCCCGGACACCGUAAGGAUUGACAGAUUGAAAGCUCUUUCUCGAUUUGGUGGUUGGUGGUGCAUGGCCGUUCUUAGUUGGUGGAGCGAUUUGUCUGGUUUAUUCCGAUAACGAGCGAGACUCUAGCCUGCUAAAUAGUGGCUGGAUUUUUAAGUCCAGUCUACUUCUUAGAGGGAUAAGCGGUGUUUAGCCGCACGAGAUUGAGCGAUAACAGGUCUGUGAUGCCCUUAGAUGUCCGGGGCUGCACGCGCGCUACAAUGGAAGAAUCAGCUGGCCUAUCCAUUGCCGAAAGGCAUUGGUAAACCGUUGAAACUCUUCCGUGACCGGGAUAGGGAAUUGUAAUUAUUUCCCUUGAACGAGGAAUUCCUAGUAAGUGUGAGUCAUCAGCUCACGCUGAUUACGUCCCUGCCAUUUGUACACACCGCCCGUCGCUGUCCGGGACUGAGCUGUCUCGAGAGGACUGCGGACUGCUGUAUCGAGGCUUCGGUCGCGGCUAUGGACGGGCAAAACA
rnacentral:rRNA from 1 species